UUAAACUAUUUCAAGAAAAUUACUUGCAUUGUUAUUGGGUGAACCUCUGUAGUUGUUAGUGAUUGAAGGUUCAGUAAAUGAUGCCACGUGU